rnacentral:rRNA from 1 species
CCUUCGCCCCCCGGGGGGGGGGCUUUUUUUUAGGUUUUUGUUUUUCUGCUCAGGACGAACGCUGGCGGCGUGCCUAAUACAUGCAAGUCGAGCGGACAGAUGGGAGCUUGCUCCCUGAUGUUAGCGGCGGACGGGUGAGUAACACGUGGGUAACCUGCCUGUAAGACUGGGAUAACUCCGGGAAACCGGGGCUAAUACCGGAUGGUUGUUUGAACCGCAUGGUUCAGACAUAAAAGGUGGCUUCGGCUACCACUUACAGAUGGACCCGCGGCGCAUUAGCUAGUUGGUGAGGUAACGGCUCACCAAGGCGACGAUGCGUAGCCGACCUGAGAGGGUGAUCGGCCACACUGGGACUGAGACACGGCCCAGACUCCUACGGGAGGCAGCAGUAGGGAAUCUUCCGCAAUGGACGAAAGUCUGACGGAGCAACGCCGCGUGAGUGAUGAAGGUUUUCGGAUCGUAAAGCUCUGUUGUUAGGGAAGAACAAGUGCCGUUCAAAUAGGGCGGCACCUUGACGGUACCUAACCAGAAAGCCACGGCUAACUACGUGCCAGCAGCCGCGGUAAUACGUAGGUGGCAAGCGUUGUCCGGAAUUAUUGGGCGUAAAGGGCUCGCAGGCGGUUUCUUAAGUCUGAUGUGAAAGCCCCCGGCUCAACCGGGGAGGGUCAUUGGAAACUGGGGAACUUGAGUGCAGAAGAGGAGAGUGGAAUUCCACGUGUAGCGGUGAAAUGCGUAGAGAUGUGGAGGAACACCAGUGGCGAAGGCGACUCUCUGGUCUGUAACUGACGCUGAGGAGCGAAAGCGUGGGGAGCGAACAGGAUUAGAUACCCUGGUAGUCCACGCCGUAAACGAUGAGUGCUAAGUGUUAGGGGGUUUCCGCCCCUUAGUGCUGCAGCUAACGCAUUAAGCACUCCGCAUGGGAGACGUAGUG